rnacentral:rRNA from 1 species
GAUGAACGCUGGCGGCGUGCCUAAUACAUGCAAGUCGAGCGAACAGACGAGGAGCUUGCUCCUCUGACGUUAGCGGCGGACGGGUGAGUAACACGUGGAUAACCUACCUAUAAGACUGGGAUAACUUCGGGAAACCGGAGCUAAUACCGGAUAAUAUAUUGAACCGCAUGGUUCAAUAGUGAAAGACGGUUUUGCUGUCACUUAUAGAUGGAUCCGCGCCGCAUUAGCUAGUUGGUAAGGUAACGGCUUACCAAGGCGACGAUGCGUAGCCUACCUGAGAGGGUGAUCGGCCACACUGGAACUGAGACACGGUCCAGACUCCUACGGGAGGCAGCAGUAGGGAAUCUUCCGCAAUGGGCGAAAGCCUGACGGAGCAACGCCGCGUGAGUGAUGAAGGUCUUCGGAUCGUAAAACUCUGUUAUUAGGGAAGAACAAAUGUGUAAGUAACUAUGCACGUCUUGACGGUACCUAAUCAGAAAGCCACGGCUAACUACGUG